GAUUAACGCUAGCGGCAGGCAUAAUACAUGCCAGUUGAACGGCAGCACAGGUAGCAAUACUGGGUGGCGAGUGGCGCACGGGUGCGUAACACGUAUGCAACCUACCCUAUACAGGCGAAUAACCUUUAGAAAUGAGGGCUAAUACGCCGUAGUAUUACAGAUGGGCAUCUAUUUGUAAUUAAAGAUUUAUCGGUAUAGGAUGGGCAUGCAUCCCAUUAGUUAGUUGGUAAGGUAACGGCUUACCAAGACGAUGAUGGGUAGGGGAUCUGAGAGGACUUACCCCCACACUGGUACUGAGACACGGACCAGACUCCUACGGGAGGCAGCAGUAAGGAAUAUUGGGCAAUGGCCGCGAGGCUGACCCAGCCAUGCCGCGUGCAGGAAGACGGCCUUAUGGGUUGUAAACUGCUUUUAUACGGGAAUAAUAGAGUGUACGCGUACAUUUAUGCAAGUAUCGUAUGAAUAAGCAUCGGCUAACUCCGUG
rnacentral:rRNA from 1 species